rnacentral:rRNA from 1 species
AUGCUGGCGGCGUGCCUAACACAUGCAAGUCGAGCGGCAGCGAGUUUUACACUGAAUUCUGGAAGCUUCUGGGUAAUAUAGAAGAUCUAUUCAAGAAUUUUGUGUAAAAUGUCGGCGAGCGGCGGACGGCUGAGUAACGCGUAGGAAUUUGCCCCAAAGUGAGGAAUAACUGCCCGAAAGGGUAGCUAAUGCCGCAUAUGGUCUUCGGAUUAAAGCCUUCGGGCGCUUUGGGAGAAGCCUGCGUUGGAUUAGGUAGUUGGUAGGGUAAUGGCCUACCAAGCCGACGAUCCAUAGCUGGUCUGAGAGGAUGAUCAGCCAGACUGGAACUGAGACACGGUCCAGACUCCUACGGGAGGCAGCAGUGAGGAAUCUUCCACAAUGGGCGAAAGCCUGAUGGAGCAACGCCGCGUGAAGGAUGAAGGCCUUCGGGUUGUAAACUUCUUUUAUGAGUGAAGAAUAUGACGGUAACUCAUGAAUAAGCACCGGCUAACUACGUGCCAGCAGCCGCGGUCAUACGUAGGGUGCAAGCAUUAUCCGGAGUGACUGGGCGUAAAGAGUUGCGUAGGCGGUUUAAUAAGUGAAUAGUGAAACCUGGUGGCUCAACCAUACAGACUAUUAUUCAAACUGUUAAACUCGAGAAUGGUAGAGGUAACUGGAAUUUCUAGUGUAGGAGUGAAAUCCGUAGAUAUUAGAAGGAACACCGAUGGCGUAGGCAGGUUACUGGGCCAUUUCUGACGCUAAGGCACGAAAGCGUGGGGAGCGAACCGGAUUAGAUACCCGGGUAGUCCACGCCGUAAACGAUGGAUACUAGCUGUUGGAGGUAUCGACCCCUUCAGUAGCGAAGCUAACGCGUUAAGUAUCCCGCCUGUGGAGUGCGGCCGCAAGGCUAAAACAUAAAGGAAUUGACGGGG